rnacentral:rRNA from 1 species
UGGCGGUCGAGCGGCGGACGGGUGAGGAAUGCAUCGGAAUCUGCCUCGUUGUGGGGGAUAACGUAGGGAAACUUACGCUAAUACCGCAUACGACCUACGGGUGAAAGUGGGGGACCUUCGGGCCUCACGCGAUGAGAUGAGCCGAUGCCGGAUUAGCUAGUUGGCGGGGUAAAGGCCCACCAAGGCGACGAUCCCGUAGCUGGUCUGANAGGGAUGAUCAGCCACACUGGAACUGAGACACGGGUCCCAGACUCCUACGGGAGGCAGCAGUGGGGAAUAUUGGACAAUGGGGGCAACCCUGAUCCAGCCAUGCCGCGUGUGUGAAGAAGGCCUUCGGGUUGUAAAGCACUUUGUUGGGGAAGAAACCGGCCGGGUUAAUACCCUGGUUGAAUGACGGUACCCAAAGAAUAAGCACCGGCUAACUUCGUG